AAUAAACGCAGCCAUGAGUUUCCAUGUCCAAUUUUGAUCAUCCGUUUUAUUUAAAAUGUUUCAUGAUUAAUAUUUUUUUAUUAUUAGAUUAUAAAAUAUGAAUAGUACUUUAUGCGAGACUUAUUUUUUAAAAAAAAAUAAAUAAGACGGACGAUUAAAGUUGGACACGGAAACUCAUGGCUACACUUAUU
rnacentral:pre_miRNA from 1 species